rnacentral:tRNA from 1 species
GGCCCCGUAGUUCAACGGAUAGAAUAGAAGUUUCCUAAACUUUUGAUACAGGUUCGAUUCCUGUCGGGGCUG